UACAGAGGGUGCAAGCGUUAAUCGGAAUUACUGGGCGUAAAGGGCGCGUAGGUGGUUGCGUAAGUGAGGUGUGAAAUCCCCGGGCUUAACCUGGGAAUGGCACUUUAUACUGCGUAGCUGGAGUACAUUAGAGGGUAGUGGAAUUUCCGGUGUAGCGGUGAAAUGCGUAGAUAUCGGAAGGAACACCAGUGGCGAAGGCGGCUACCUGGAAUGAUACUGACACUGAGGCGCGAAAGCGUGGGAGCAAACAGG
rnacentral:rRNA from 1 species